rnacentral:rRNA from 1 species
GACGAAGGGUGCGGGUGUUAUUCGUUUUGAUUGGGUGUAAAGGGUACGUAGAUGGUUCUUAGAUUUUUGGCAUAAACGGCGGGGAGAUCCCACGCAGAAGGCCUUUGAAGAAGAGAGCUCGAGUUAUCGAGAGGUCCAGGCAAAUUCUCAUGUAAGGGUAUAAUCUUGAGAGAUGAGAAUGAACACUAAUAGGCGAAAGCACUGUUCUAGCGAUAACUGACGUUCAGGUACGGAAGCGUAGGUAGCAAACGGG